ensembl:lncRNA LINC00923 long intergenic non-protein coding RNA 923
AGAGAUCAUCUAUAAAUUAGAACAUGCUUAUAUGUAUAUACUUAAAUUCCACUGGGGCCUCAUGGAGAGGGGAAGAGUGAAUGGGUAGGAAGGUGGAGAGUACUGCCAGCAUGCUUUGAUCUUGAGCAUCAUUAAGGUGUUGGUAGAAGAAAAGUCCAAGUCUAGCUGAUAUGGAGUUUACCUUCCCGUAACACACUUUUCUGUAUCAAUAACGUACAUGAUAAAUAGAUAUGGCCAGCCACACAUGACUUAGUUUCUCUGUUAAGCUCCUGGUAUGAUACUUCCAUUUCAAAGAGAAGACUGGAGAUUUACCACUAUGAAGGGAAACAGAGGAAGGUGAUGGCAUAGGUCAGGGAUGGGCAAACUUCCAUUGUGAAGGGCCAGAUAGUAAAUAUUUUAAGUCUUGGGUCAUUUGGGGGCAUCCAGGCUCUGAAGGAGGGAGUGAAUUUGCUCUUUGUUUGACUUUUUGUUCCAUUCAGGACCUCAGCUGAUUGGAUGAUGCCCACCAUAUUGGGGGAGGAUCUUCCUCACCCAGUCUACCAACUGCCAUGCCAAUUUCCUCCAGAAACACCCUCACAGACACACCUGAGUAGCCGAAUCAUUCUAAUUGAAAGCUAAACCACCUGGAUUUUCCUUACAGCAGAAGAGGAACAAGACAUUGGUGUGCAAGUGGCAAAAAGAGUCCUGUCCCAGCACUGCAAGGGGAAGAUAAAGGCUCGUCAUCUGUGCGUGCGUCCAUCUGAGUGGAACGUGUGUCCCGGGGGCUGCUGCCACCGCGCCGGUCCCUCCUGUAAUCCGAGCCCGUGUCAGAGGACGCGGCGCCUGCAAGGAAGAAGGGUUGCCGCAGGUGUGGCCAGAUCCUCUAGGCAAGAGGUGUGGAUUCAGGUCCUACUAGUCUUACUCCUGAUGAAGCUGGGCAAAUCAGUUGGCUCUGGAGUAAUUAGUAGCCCCUUCCUCACUGACCAUUGCAAGGAAAUACCAGUGAACUUGAGUUUCUCCAAUGAAGGUGAUCACAGUGAUGAAUGACUUGGCUUCUGCACAGCAAAAGACAUGAUCAUCAGAGCGAACAGACAACCUACAGAAUGGGAGAGCAUUUGUGCCAUCUAUCCAUCUGACAAAAGUCUAAAAUCCAAAGUUUACAAAGAACUUAAACAAAUUUACAAGAAAAAAACAAACGACCCCGUUAAAAAGUGGGCAAAGGAGAUGAACAGACACUUCUCCAAAGAAGACAUUCAUGCAGCCAACAAAGAUAUGAAAAAA